rnacentral:rRNA from 1 species
GACGAACGCUGGCGGCGUGCUUAACACAUGCAAGUCGAACGGUGAACUCCGCUUGCGGGGGGAUCAGUGGCGAACGGGUGAGUAACACGUGGGCAACCUGCCCUCAGCUCUGGGAUAACUCCAAGAAAUUGGGGCUAAUACCGGAUAUGACCGCUGACCGCAUGGUCUGGUGGUGGAAAGAUUUAUCGGCUGGGGAUGGGCCCGCGGCCUAUCAGCUUGUUGGUGGGGUAGUGGCCUACCAAGCCGACGACGGGUAGCCGGCCUGAGAGGGUGACCGGCCACACUGGGACUGCGAGACGGCCCAGACUCCUACGGGAGGCAGCAGUGGGGAAUAUUGCGCAAUGGGCGAAAGCCUGACGCAGCGACGCCGCGUGGGGGAUGACGGCCUUCGGGUUGUAAACCUCUUUCAGCGGGGACGAAGCGAAAGUGACGGUACCUGCAGAAGAAGCACCGGCCAACUACGUG